rnacentral:rRNA from 1 species
UACGUAGGGGGCGAGCGUUAUCCGGAUUUACUGGGCGUAAAGCGCGUUAAGGCGGUUGGCAAAGUUGGUGGUGAAAUCUCAGGGCUCAACCCUGAAACUGCCUCCAAUACUGGUCGACUAGAGUGUGAGAGAGGAAGGUGGAAUUCCCGGUGUAGUAGUGAAAUGCGCAGAUAUCGGGAGGAACACCGGUGGCGAAGGCGGUUCUCUGGGCCUGUACUGACGCUGAGGAGCGAAAGCGUGGGGAGCAAACAGG